rnacentral:rRNA from 1 species
UACCGUGGUAAUUCUAGAGCUAAUACAUGAGCAAUAUCUCAACUAUUUUGGAAGAGAUGCAUUUAUUAGAUAAAAAACCAAUACAUACUUUUUCAAGUAUGAAAGUUGGUGAUUUACAAUAACUUAGCAAAUCGCAUAGUGAAAACAGGCGAUAAAUCAUUCAAGUUUCUGACCUAUCAGCUUUCGACGGUAUGGUAUUGGCUUACCGUGGCAGUGACGGUUAACGGGGGAUUAGGGUUCGAUUCCGGAGAGGGAGCCUGAGAAACGGCUACCACAUCUAAGGAAGGCAGCAGGCGCGCAAAUUACCCAAUUCUAACAGCAUAAGAGAGGUAGUGACAAGAAAUAACAAUACAAGGCAGUUAAAAUGCUUUGUAAUUGGAAUGAUAGAAAUUUAAACACUUUUUAAAGUAUCAAUUGGAGGGCAAGUCUGGUGCCAGCAGCCGCGGUAAUUCCAGCUCCAAUAGCGUAUAUUAAAAUUGUUGCAGUUAAAAAGCUCGUAGUUGAAUUUCUGUUAAAAAUAACCGGUCUGCUUUUAUUAAAAGUGGUAUCUUGGUGUGUUUUUAGCAAUAAUGUCCUUUGAAAUGUUUUUUACUUUAUUGUAAUAAAUAAUAUUCAGGAUUUUUACUUUGAGAAAAUUAGAGUGUUUCUAGCAGGCUAACGCUUUGAAUACUGCAGCAUGGAAUAAUAAAAUAGGAUUUUAGUUCUACAUUAUUGGUUUUAAGAACUAAAUUAAUGAUUGAUAGGGACAGUUGGGGGCAUUUGUAUUUAACUGUCAGAGGUGAAAUUCUUAGAUUUGUUAAAGACAAACUACUGCGAAAGCAUUUGCCAAAGAUGUUUUCAUUAAUCAAGAACGAAAGUUAGGGGAUCGAAGACGAUCAG